UACGUAGGGGGCGAGCGUUGUCCGGAAUCAUUGGGCGUAAAGGGCGUGUAGGCGGCCCUGUAAGUCGGAUGUGAAAUCCCGAAGCUCAACUUCGGAACUGCACCCGAUACUGCAGGGCUUGAGGUAGGUAGAGGAGAGUGGAAUUCCCGGUGUAGCGGUGGAAUGCGCAGAUAUCGGGAGGAACACCAAUAGCGAAGGCAGCUCUCUGGGCCUUACCUGACGCUGAGACGCGAAAGCGUGGGGAGCAAACAGG
rnacentral:ncRNA from 3 species